rnacentral:rRNA from 1 species
UACAGAGGGGCAAGCGUUGUUCGGAAUUACUGGGCGUAAAGGGCGCGUAGGCGGCCUUCUAAGUCGAACGUGAAAUCCCCGGGCUCAACCCGGGAACUGCGUCCGAUACUGGAAGGCUUGAAUCCGGGAGAGGGAUGCGGAAUUCCAGGUGUAGCGGUGAAAUGCGUAGAUAUCUGGAGGAACACCGGUGGCGAAGGCGGCAUCCUGGACCGGUAUUGACGCUGAGGCGCGAAAGCCAGGGGAGCAAAGCAGGGAUUAA